CGAGAACCUUAGGAGACACCAAGAAUCUUGAGGUCAGUCUAGAGACUUCUUGGGUUUAGAGCCUUCUGAUCUGGAUGUAGAACGCUUGGAUCCUUCUCCAGCACCAUGUCUGCCAGCAUGCCACCAUGCUUGCUGCCAUGAUGACAAUGAACUAAACCUCUGAACCUGAAUCAUCCCGGCUCCAGCUUUCCUUCUAGAUAAUCCGUAAACAUCCACGCAUGAAUCAAGCCAAGUAUUUGUUGCUAUUCAAGCUAUACGGUCCCCAGAUUGUCUUCCAGCAG
rnacentral:lncRNA from 1 species